ACCGGUGAUUGGCAGUCCCAUUCAAGCACUGGACAGGGACUGGACAGAGGUCAGCUUGGGUGCGUGGGGCUGGGUGCCCAGGCCAGCAAAGGAACCUUUAACUUCGUGUAUGCCUCGUCUCUUAACUCCUUUCCACAACUAGCACGAAUCAGUACAUCACUGUUAAAUUCCCGUUAAAAAACAUGUCUUACCUCGCUGCAUAUGAAAGAAAACCAUGACAUUCUGAUGUAUGGAGAAAGCAGACUCAGAGGGGAUGGGUCUCCUUAGGUGAAGGGUACCGUGACAGUUUUUCCCUUCUGGGGACCUCCUUUGACAAAGCACCCUGGGAGCUCGCACUCACCGGAAUGCUGUCUGCUAGCCUUGCUCCGCUCAGGGUAGUGGCCUGUGCCGCUAACACGCUCAGCCCACCAGCUCCUGCCCCCCUGCGAGCUGGAGCCUGGCCCUGUUAUAAAUCUCACUGAAGCAUCCAUGGAAUUAGUGGCCAUUUUCCUCGACCUCCAAAAUGCCUGCUUGGUUUCCAUGACAACAUCCAGGCUGGGAAUCGGGGUGAGUGGUCUCCAUGAAAAGAGCCCGGAGGUUAGGUGCAUGGCCACGGAGAAGCUCACACCUCCUUUCUGAAAUGCCCGAGCACACACGGCCCCCCAGGAGCGGAUCCGGUGUUAGGAUCUGGCCUCCACGGCCGAGCUGUGACCUCUGGCAGGAAGGGAGUCUUCAGGUGAAGCCUUUGUGCCUGCCUGCACCCCCACGUGGUCCCUACACACAGCCAGCGGGUAAGGCUCCUGGUGGAAGGGGUGGCCCCGGGGAGCGGCCCUUCUGGGCAGUGCAUUGUACCACUGCGUCUUGGCUAUCAUUGGCUUGAUCUCUGAGAACUGCCUUUCUGUCUUCUCUCUGUGCAGAAACAUACACAAGGAACAAAUUUCAUAAAGGCAAGUUCAUUGCGCUGAGUCACAGAAGUGACAGCAUGUCCCCACAAUCCUCGCUCCAUCCAGAGAGGGCAGCGCCGCCCUCGGGCAAUGCAGCUGUCGGCUCUCCCUUCCAGGCCAGGGGAGGCUGUCAGGUCAGUGCUCAGAUACACAGCUUCUGAGGGGCCUGCCCACAGCUCAGAGGCAUUGCUUGGGGACCACUGGUCACGUCCUGCCGCCCGAGGAGAGAAUGGCCAGCAGGACCCUUUGUGCCUCUGGGCCUUUGGCUUGGCUCCCUAAGCGGAGGUGACAAUCUGCU
rnacentral:lncRNA from 9 species